UGGAAACUUACUAAGUGAUCACUUUCAAAUUCAGAGAAACCCUGGAAUUAACAAAAAUGGGCAAUCCUGAGCCAAAUCCUGUUUUCCGAAAACAAACAAAGGUUCAGAAAAAAAAGGAUAGGUGCAGAGACUCAAUGGAAGCUAUUCUAACAAAUGGAGUUAAAUGCGUUGGUAGAGGAAUCUUUACAUCGAAACUUCAGAAAGAAAAAGAAUGAAGUGAAGGAUAAACGUAUAUACAUACGUAUUGAAUACUAUAUCAAAUGAUUAAUGAUGACCCGAAUCCAUAUUUUUUCUAUAAAAAAUAGAAGAGUUGGUGUGAAUCGAUUCUACAUUGAAGAAAGAAUCGAAUAUUCAUUGAUCAAAUCAUUCACUCCAUAGUCUGACAGAUCUUUUGAAGAACUGAUUAAUCGGACGAGAAUAAAGAUAGAGUCCCGUUCUACAUGUCAAUACCGGCAACAAUGAAAUUUAUAGUAAGAGGAAAAUCCGUCGACUUUAAAAAUCGUGAGGGUUCAAGUCCCUCUAUCCCCAAAAAGACUAUUUCACUCCCUCCGACCCCCUUUCCUUAGC
rnacentral:precursor_RNA from 3 species